CAGGCCUAACACAUGCAAGUCGAGCGAACAGCUAAGGAGCUUGCUCCUUUGACGUUAGCGGCGGACGGGUGAGUAACACGUGGAUAACGUACCUAUAAGACAUGGGAUAACUUCGGGAAACCGGAGCUAAUACCGGAUAACAUAUUGAACCGCAUGGUUCAAUAGUGAAAGGCGGCUUUGCUGUCACUUAUAGAUGGAUCCGCGCCGUAUUAGCUAGUUGGUAAGGUAACGGCUUACCAAGGCAACGAUACGUAGCCGACCUGAGAGGGUGAUCGGCCACACUGGAACUGAGACACGGUCCAGACUCCUACGGGAGGCAGCAGUAGGGAAUCUUCCGCAAUGGGCGAAAGCCUGACGGAGCAACGCCGCGUGAGUGAUGAAGGUCUUCGGAUCGUAAAAC
rnacentral:rRNA from 1 species